UACAGAGGUCCCAAGCGUUGUUCGGAUUCACUGGGCGUAAAGGGUGCGUAGGCGGGUCUUUAAGUCAGGGGUGAAAUCCUGGAGCUCAACUCCAGAACUGCCUUUGAUACUGAGGAUCUUGAGUUCGGGAGAGGUGAGUGGAACUGCGAGUGUAGAGGUGAAAUUCGUAGAUAUUCGCAAGAACACCAGUGGCGAAGGCGGCUCACUGGCCCGAUACUGACGCUGAGGCACGGAAGCGUGGGGAGCAAACAGG
rnacentral:rRNA from 1 species